CGAAUUGGUCUCAUGGUGCCAAUGCUCUCGAGGAUGGAGAGGGAGCGAACGACGGUUUCGGAGAUUAGGGUUUCAGCUGACGGAAGAGAGAGAGAGUAUCCAUGGAAAUACUCUUGAAGCGGCGAUUGAACAUGUGGAUUGCGAAAACCUGAGGGGAUCCUGAUGGUAAAUUACAACAGUAAUUUUAUAGUUUUCAAUCUGAAUCUUAUACGAUUGCUGCUCGUUGUUUCCGCUCUUUCUCUCUCUCUCUCUUCCUCGCUGUCUCUGCUCUGCUGCUUUGCUCGUUCGCUCCCUUCGGAGCCUCGUGAUGAAGCUUUUCUGAAGUUGACUGCAGUCUACCCACGGCCACAGGACUUCACAAUGAUAUUGAUAUGCUUGCAUGUUUACUGAGGCAAAAGGAGUGCAUGUACAAGAUGCUUGAAGGGAACGCAUUUGUUCGUAAGCCCUAUACCAUGUGAAGAUCUUGGAUCAUUUUUUUUCCCUCUGAAAGGAAACAGUCUAGAUCUUGAAUCUCGGCUCCACCAAUCUUGAUAUCUAAGCGAGAGAAACACUGCGGUGUGCCUUGAGAAAAUCGGUAGUUAAGGAAGAUGUAGGUUCCUGUCCUGGUGUGCUUUUGACAGCAAGGCUUGAUUUACAUCUCUUUCUUCCCUUGGAACCCAAACCCAAUAGGGGCCCAAAAUAACACCUUCAAGCAAGAAUAUGGUCAUUAACACAAAGGACUCACGACCACAAGUGCAUAAAGAGAUAUCGAGUUUAACAUUAAUAUUAAAUUUAAUUAGCAUCGGGGGCCUUGGCCUUGUGAGACAUUCUUCUAGAGUCUAUGCUAUGUGGAUGCAUGUGCCAUGUAUUGGUGAUUGUACUUGAUUGUAGAUGUGUUCACGGGUUGGGUUGGGUUAUAGGGAUUUUUUGGACUAACCCAAAAAUUCGGGUUUGUUGAGUCUGCUACCCGAAAGACCCAAGUGAAGUUCGUAACCCAACCUAACCCAACUCUCAUAUUUUCGGUUGGGCCAGGUUGGGUUGGAAUUUCAGAGGGA